CAGAGGAAAGGAAUACCGCACAACAGGAGGUGCGGCAGACCCUCUCCCGCCGCAGUCAACCACACACGCGUCAAGCAGAGUGAUGCCGCCGAGUGCGCACUGGGGCAAGCGCCCACGCGAGGGCGACAGUGACGAAGCCUUCGUGCGUUUUAGUGAGCUCUCUCCGGCACAGAAGCUGGAGCGACGGCGCCAGGAGCGCGCGGAGAAGAAGGAGCGGGACCGCACGCUGGCGUACUUCAAGUCUGUUCAACGUGCGCUGGAGGAGCAGGGCAGCGGCGGCGGUGAUGCUGGUGCCCUCGCCUCCAUCGUGGACGGCUUCUUCUCGGAACUGCUGAAGCUGCUAAAGGCGGACUCGUCGUUCUACAUCCUCCGGAAUGGCACGGCGUGCCGCGUCGUGGAGCUGGCUCUGGCCAACGCGCUGCUGCUGCACGUCAAGUCCCUUCUUUACGUCUUCCUCGGCCACAUUUGUGAGCUGCUUAUCUCCCCUGUCGCGAGCUACACGCUGGAAACGCUACUGGCAAGCCUGUCGCAGGGUCUCAGCGCGCUCGCGGCCACGAACCCGGAAGGCCUGGAGGCUGAGCUCACCGAGGGCGGCGUCGGCAUGCACACCGGCAGUGGUGUCCCGAGCUCUGCCACGCUGCUGAGAUCCAUGGCAGAGGAAAUGUGCGAGAACGCCGAAGACCUCAUCGUUCACGACAUCGGCGGCCGUGCCCUGCGCUCGGUGGUUCUCAUGCUUGGUGGACACUCUAUCAGGCAGGCGCCGCUGCCUGUCCACCCGGUCGCUUUCCCAUGCAUUCUCGGUACACUGGCAGAGGCCGUCAUCAAGGCGCUGGAGGAGGGCUACGGCCGCGAGUACCGGACGGCGAGCCCGGCAGAGGCGUGGAUGGCGGCGGUACAGGCGCCGGCGACGAGCCUUGUCGUGCAGAGCCUCUUGCGCGUGAGUGACGAGGGCAGCGUUGUGGACCGUUGCGUACGUCAACGCAUUGAGCAGCUGUCCUACAAGGGAAGGCCGCUCUUGCACCACUUGCUCGUAGACACACUCGGCUGCCACGUCUUCCAGAGCUACCUGCAGGUGCCGCCGCCGACCGCGGUCGUGGUCGAGGGCGACGCCGCCGCCGUGCGUGCGAGUGCGUCGACAGAGGAAAGUGACGGCAGCUCCGAGGCGGCGUCGGUACCGGGCGGGGACACGUCCUGCUGCUGGUCACGUGCAGCCGGAGCGGUCACUGUCGAGGUGAGCAACCUCCUGAAACCCGGCAGCGACCUUGUCGCUCAGACGAGCUACGUUCUGCAAGACCUCGUCCUGUACGCGCCGACCGCCACCCACCUCCAGUGGCUUUGGAGGCGCGUGCUGGAGCCGCGGCUAGCGCUCUUGUUCGACGUGCCAGCGCUGGCGCCGGUGCUCGUGCAGUUGGUGAAGCGAUGCGCGUUUGAGAGUUUCACGCUGAAGCCUUUCGCGUCCCCAGGGCUGGCGGCUGCCGGCGAUGCAGCAGACCCCACGACUGGGGAGGUGAGUCACCACGGCACAGUGCUGCCCGCCGAUGUUCUCAAGACGCUGCGCAAGGAUGCCGUCCACCAUGUGCGCUACUCGCCCGUGCCCAUCACCUUCCAGAAGGCGGUGUGCACGUCGGUGUGCGGUUUGGCGAGGCAGCGGGUCGUGAAGGGGGCGGCACAGUAUCUUCUCGUGGACGGGGCGCUGGGUGACAGAGGAUACGAGCUGGCGCGCUUUCUCCUCCAUCUACACCCGACGGCAUCGACGAUGUUGCAGUACUCACUAGACAAGCUGCAGCGCGACGAUCUACUUGCCGUGAUGUGCCACCAGAAGGGCAGCCUCUUCAUGCAGCAGUACAUCAAGGUGGCCGCCCUCGCCGUGCCCAAGUCGACGGCGGCCUACGCAGAAGGUGAUAAAGCGGCUCACGUCAGCGAUGCAACGGCUGCUGCUGCUGCUGCGGAGUCGAAGAGGCCGCUGAUGCGUCUCUUCCGCCGCCUGCAGUCGUCCCUCGGCACGCUCAUCUACGACAGGUACGCCGCCUUCAUGCUGGAGGUCUUGUACGAGGCGGCUUCCAUGCCGGUAAAGGAGGCACUGGUGAAGUCGCUGGUGCCGCUUUAUCAGGAGAUGCGCACGCAGAGCAGUGGCUCAACUCCUACACCGUCUGCGAGCGCGGAGGCGGCGCCAUCAGUCGCUUCCGCAACAGCAGACAACGAAGGUGGCGAGAAUGGCACGCACGCAGACCUGACGCCAACGCAGAGGCGCUUCAUCGCAUACAAAGUCAUGUCGAGGUGCUGUGUGGAGCAGUACGUGCAUCGCAAGGACGACUGGGUCAAGCUGGCGGAGCGGCAAUGCCACGCGCAGCGUCUCCUGCGUCGUAUGCUGUUGAGCGAGUAGCGUGCUCUCCUACCUGUGGCUACGUAAUGUAAGCGUGUGUAGGCUGCAGCAGCCGCAGCAGCGAAGAAGAAUGCGAGAUGACCCUUCACCCUCCUGCCGUGUGUCGGCUCGAGCCCCUCCUCCCUUGGGUUUGCCUCUUUAACGCUCCCUCGAGUAAGGCGUAACGCGC
rnacentral:misc_RNA from 1 species